UGAUCCCUGAUAGAGGUAGAGAUGGAGCCAGAGCCGGCACAACAGAGCCAGGGCAGGGAUGCGUUUCUAUCUUAGAAAUUCAAACCGAAUUUCACAUUAAAGAAAGAUCAGGGGAACAAAUAAAACUGUGCAGUGCAACCUCUGCUUGCCAGCAACCAACAUCUUUUCAGCAUCCAAAUGACUCCACCUCCAACCUGAAGCAUCUUAAAGUAACCCCUUUUUGGGGGCU